rnacentral:rRNA from 1 species
AUUGAACGCUGGCGGCAGGCCUAACACAUGCAAGUCGAGCGAGCGGCGGACGGGUGAGUAAUGUAUGGGGACUGCCCGAUAGAGGGGGAUAACUACUGGAAACGGUGGCUAAUACCGCAUACUAUCGGAUAACCCAUAUGGGAUUAGCUAGUAGGUGGGGUAAAGGCUCACCUAGGCGACGAUCUCUAGCUGGUCUGAGAGGAUGAUCAGCCACAGUGGGACUGAGACACGGCCCAGACUCCUACGGAGGGAGCAGUGGGGAAUAUUGCACAAUGGGCGCAAGCCUGAUGCAGCAAUGCCGCGUGUAUGAAGAAGGCCUUAGGGUUGUAAAGUACUUUCAGAGGGGAGGCGGUACUCGAACAAGAAGCACCGGCUAACUCCGUGCCAGCAGCCGCGGUAAUUC